GACAGAGGGUGCAAACGUUGUUCGGAAUUACUGGGCGUAAAGCGUGUGUAGGCGGCUGCGCAAGUCGGAUGUGAAAGCCCCGGGCUCAACCCGGGAAGUGCACCCGAAACUGCGUAGCUUGAGUACCGGAGAGGUUGGUGGAAUUCUCGGUGUAGAGGUGAAAUUCGUAGAUAUCGAGAGGAACACCGGUGGCGAAGGCGGCCAACUGGACGAGUACUGACGCUGAGACACGAAAAGCGUGGGGAGCAAACAGG
rnacentral:rRNA from 1 species